rnacentral:rRNA from 1 species
AAUAGAUACCCUGGUAGUCCACGCCGUAAACGAUGGGUGCUAGGUGUGGGAGGUAUCGACCCCUUCCGUGCCGGAGCUAACGCACUAAGCACCCCGCCUGGGGAGUACGGCCGCAAGGCUGAAACUCAAAGGAAUUGACGGGGGCCCGCACAAGCGGUGGAGCAUGUGGUUUAAUUCGAAGCAACGCGAAGAACCUUACCUGGGCUUGACAUCACCGCGAACCUGGCCGAAAGGCUGGGGUGCCCUUCGGGGGGCGCGGUGACAGGUGCUGCAUGGUUGUCGUCAGCUCGUGUCGUGAGAUGUUGGGUUAAGUCCCGCAACGAGCGCAACCCCCGCCCUGUGUUGCCAGCGGUUUGGCCGGGCACUCACAGGGGACUGCCGGUGACAAACCGGAGGAAGGUGGGGAUGACGUCAAAUCAUCAUGGCCCUUAUGCCCAGGGCUACACACGUGCUACAAUGGCCGGUACAACGGGUUGCGAACCCGCGAGGGGAGCCAAUCCCGAAAAGCCGGUCCCAGUUCGGAUCGCAGGCUGCAACUCGCCUGCGUGAAGCCGGAA